ACCCAAAACUAAGUCCUCUCU
rnacentral:miRNA from 14 species